CGUCAUUGCACCCCUCAAGCUCCGGCUUGGUAUUGGGUCGCCGCCCCCCGGGCGCGCCCGAAUACCAGUGGCGGUCCGGAGCGACUUUAAGCGUAGUAAAAAUUUCUCCCGCUUCGAAAGUCUGCCCCGUGGCUUGCUUAACACCCCCCCGAAAUUCAAUGAUUGACCUCGGAUCAGGUAGGGAUACCCGCUGAACUUAA
rnacentral:misc_RNA from 1 species